UACAGAGGUCCCGAGCGUUGUUCGGAUUCACUGGGCGUAAAGCGCGCGCAGGCGGCCUCGCGCGCCCGACGUGAAAGCCCCCGGCUUAACCGGGGAGGGUCGUUGGGGACGGCGGGGCUUGAGGGCGGGAGAGGGUGGUGGAAUUCCCGGUGUAGUGGUGAAAUGCGUAGAGAUCGGGAGGAACACCCGUGGCGAAGGCGGCCACCUGGGCCGACCCUGACGCUGAGGCGCGAAGGCGGGGGGAGCGAACGGG
rnacentral:rRNA from 1 species